rnacentral:rRNA from 1 species
GAUGAACGCUGGCGGCGUGCCUAAUACAUGCCAGUCGAGCGAACAGACGAGGAGCUUGCUCCACUGACGUUAGCGGCGGACGGGUGAGUAACACGUGGAUAACCUACCUAUAAGACUGGGAUAACUUCGGGAAACCGGAGCUAAUACCGGAUAAUAUAUUGAACCGCAUGGUUCAAUAGUGAAAGACGGUUUUGCUGUCACUUAUAGAUGGAUCCGCGCCGCAUUAGCUAGUUGGUAAGGUAACGGCUUACCAAGGCAACGAUGCGUAGCCGACCUGAGAGGGUGGUCGGCCACACUGGAACUGAGACACGGUCCAGACUCCUACGGGCGGCAGCAUUAGGGACUCUUCCGCAAUGGGCGGAAGCCUGACGGAGCAACGCCGCGUGAGUGAUGAAGAUCUUCGGAUCGUAAAACUCUGUUAUUAGAGAAGAUCAAAUGUGUCAGUAACUAUGCACGUCUUGACGGUACCUAAUCAGAAAGCCACGGCUAACUACGUG